rnacentral:lncRNA from 1 species
AGUUGAACUUCUACAGCAGCUACCAAUUUCUACGCAGGUAUGGACUGAUAUAUCCAUGGAUUUUAUCGAUGGACUUCUUAAUUCUAAUGGCCAUACAAUUAUCUUGGUAGUGGUUGAUUGCCUAUCAAAAUAUGGCCACUUUAUUUCCAUAGCCCACCCGUAUAUUGCAGCCAAAAUUGCCCAUAUAUUCUUAUCCCAUAUCUUUAAACUUCAUGGCAUGCCGAGUUCCAUAGUCACACAGACAGAGACAAAACAUUCACAUUUAUGUUCUGGAAAAAAAACUAUUCAAAUUACAGGGGACUAAACUCUGUUUUAGCUCGGCUUACCAUCCUUAAUCUGAUGGUCAAACUGAGAACAUAAACAAAUGUUUAGAAUAGUAUCUACGAUGCUUUUCUGGAAGACAAACAAGCCUAUGAGCCCAUAGGUUCUUACAGCAACUCUAAUGGGCAUUUAUUUUUCCCGUCGAUGGUAUAUUUAAGUUCAAUUUCGUGGGACUUUCCUUAAUUUUAUAGGUCAAGGACAAUGAGCUAGCCGACGUAGUUGCAUUUAGUGUGAGAAAUAAUUAUAAAGUGGAAAAUAUGAUUACAGAAGCUAUGAGUAAAGUAGGCAGGAAAUGUGCAGCAAUUCUUACAGAAGGGAGAAGUUCCAAGGACAAUUUUUAUGAUGUCGAAGGCAUGCAAUUUGACUGUGGUUAUACUUCUCCGUACUUUAUCAGAGAUAGUGAAAAGAUAGCUGUCGAAUAUGAAAAGUGCAAGGUAUUUUCUUUCUUUCUUUCUUUUGCUCGUAUGCUUUUAUUCGGUUAAAUCCUUGGCGCAUCAAACAUUAUAAAAUCUUGUUCGAUCAUGCAGAAUGCUUGUAGAGGGAUAGAUAAAAUUCUCGUAUCCCUUCUCAUUGCCUCUCCCCUCUUCUACUAUAUGCACAAGUUUAAAUAUUUUAUGCCAUUUUAAAUUCUUACUCCAGUUAAAUAGAAAAUUGUUGUUGUAUAUCAUGAAUAGGAAAUUUUAGAUUCUACAAAUAGCACAAUGAAAAAUAUCAUUAGAGAGAAGCCUUACAAUCAUGGUUAAAGAUAGUAUAGGAAUUUUCAUCAAGUGAGAUGUAUGUAUCUCAAUAGAGACAUAGCAUAAUGAGUGCUAUUUGUUCUCUUCAUAUCAUUUCUAAGGUUUUGAUUCUUCUCAAUGGUGAAGGCAACAACUUGGUAUUUUAUACUAUAAUGUACUCUUCAAUUAUAGAAGAGUUGAGGGUUAUAAUUGUCCAAUUAGCAUGUAUAACGAAUUAUCAUUUAUCAGGAUACAUUUACUUUCAUCUCGGGAAACUGGAUGCCCGUGAAGCUAUUGAAUGAUAUUGUGUGGAGAUUGAUAGAUCAGAUGCUUAUAUGCAGUUAGUUCAUCUGUCUCACUUUUCAGUUCAAUGAAUGCCGUUAAAAGAACUUUUCUUCUAUAUUACUUUCAUGUAUAUGUUAUAUCAUCAGGAUACUUGAGAUGCAUUUGGAUCCAAGGAUGGUAGAAAGCUAUGUUUAAAGCUGCAUUUCGCCUUCUCCAAAACCAUGGACAAAUGUAGGAUCCCAUACAAGUUCUGGAAACACAUACAGAGGACUGCUUGUAAUGAAAUCAUUUCUGUUACAUUGGAAACAAUUAGUACCACAGCUAUUUCCUUUGUACUUAAAUAUAGUGCAUUUAGUUUUGGGUUGGGGAGUCUGUCCCCUUCCAUACAGGUAGAAAUCUUGCUUUCAAUUGCGUACUUAGCAUAUUCCUUUAUUUAUUUUAUGAACUGUUAUGUAGUAACAAACAAUUGAAUGAAGGAGAAUCCACUCAUUUAACAUAUUAAUAUUACCUUCAAAAUAAUCAAUUCCG